rnacentral:rRNA from 1 species
AGGAGUGGAGCCUGCGGCUUAAUUUGACUCAACACGGGAAACCUCACCAGGCCCGGACACCGGAAGGAUUGACAGAUUGAGAGCUCUUUCUUGAUUCGGUGGGUGGUGGUGCAUGGCCGUUCUUAGUUGGUGGAGCGAUUUGUCUGGUUAAUUCCGAUAACGAACGAGACUCUAGCCUGCUAACUAGGCGUUACUUACCGGUAUCCUGAAGGCUCGUGUCUUUCGUUUUCUGGCGUACAUUUGUUGUGCAGUUUACUGUUAUAACGGUGUACGUUCAGGGCGGGAGUUCACGGUUUUUACUACCGGCGUACAUAUAAAUCUUCUUAGAGGGACAGGCGGCUGCUAGCCGCACGAGAUUGAGCAAUAACAGGUCUGUGAUGCCCUUAGAUGUUCUGGGCCG